CCUGAUAACAGAAAUAGCUCUCCUGGCUAGAUAUAUCAAGUCUAUGGUCCAAAGGGAAGAACAAUGAAGACAUUGAUUUAUGCUUUAUUUGUAUUCUUGUGGCUGCAUCUGAGCUUGGUCAGCCAAGGAGAGAAGGUGGAGCAGCAUCCUUCUACUCUGAGUGUCCAGGAGGGAGACAGCGCUGUUAUCAACUGUAGUUAUUCAGACGGUGCUUCAGCCUACUUCCCUUGGUAUAAGCAAGAAGUUGGAAAAGGUCCCCAGCAUAUUAUAGACAUUCGUUCAAAUAAGGAGAUAAAUCACAUCCAAAGAUUCAUUGUUGUGUUGGAUAAGAAAGCCAAACACUUCUCCCUGAACAUCACAGCCACCCAACCUGGAGACUCAGCUGUCUACUUCUGUACAGCUGAUGCAUGA